CCCUUAGAUGUUCUGGGCCGCACACGCGCUACACUGAAGGAGGCAGCGUGUACUCCUGGAUCGAAAGAUUUGGGUAACCCGCGAAUCUCCUUCGUGCUAGGGAUUGAGGUUUGCAAUUAUCCUUCAUGAACGAGGAAUUCCCAGUAAGUGCAAGUCAUAAGCUUGCGCUGACUACGUCCCUGCCUUUUGUACACACCGCCCGUCGCUACUACCGAUUGAAUGAUUUAGUGAGGACUUCGGACUGGGACCGAUGCGGCUUUCGGGCUGCGUCGGUAUUCUGGAAAGAUGUCCAAACUGUAUCAUUUAGAGGAAGUAAAAGUCGUANCA
rnacentral:rRNA from 1 species